CGACGAUGAAGAAGAAGAACUGAGAGAAGAGGAAGAAAGGAUAGGAGAGUCAUUUGAUUACCUUGACGAUGUGGAAUUUAUGGAGAAACUCCGCAAGAAACGUGCUGAGCUCUUAGCCUUACAUUCCAAAAUCCAGGAGGAUGAAGAAACGACCUGUAAAGAGUGAAGAGUGGAGAUGUCCCUGCUUAUUAUCACAUGUUUUCAUUUAUGUCAGUAAUUUGAACUCAGUGAAGCUUGCGAGUAAUUGUUGUUUGUG